GGGUCUUCCCCCGAACCGCUCGGCCCCCCCAACGACCGAAAAAAAGGAGGAGAAGAAGAUGACGAAGAACCACGAUGGAGAGGGGGCAGGGGCGGAACAGGCCGAGUCAGUGAAUAAGGCUGCUGCGUUGGUGAAUGGUGAGAAAGGAGUAGGAG
rnacentral:ribozyme from 1 species